UACGAAGGGUGCGAGCGUUAUUCGGAAUAACUGGGUGUAAAGAGCGCGAAGGCGGUCUGUUAAGUCAACUGUUAAAGAGCUCAGCUUAACUGGGCAAAAGCAGGUGAAACUGGCGGACUAGAGUACAGAAGAGAAGAGUGGAAUUCUCGGAGUAGCGGUAAAAUGCGUAGAUCUCGAGAGGAACACCGGUUGCGAAGGCGGCUCUUUGGUCUGUAACUGACGCUCAAGUGCGAAAGCGUGGGGAGCAAACAGG
rnacentral:rRNA from 1 species